rnacentral:tRNA from 1 species
AUNAAGAAGCUAUAAAGCAUUAACCUUUUAAGUUAAAGACUGGGAGUUUUAA